rnacentral:lncRNA from 1 species
AUGACCAAGUUACAGGAGGCAGUGACAUUCAGGGACGUGGCCGUGGUCUUCAGCGAGGAGGAGCUGGGGCUGCUGGACGCUGCUCAGAGGAAGCUGUACCACGAUGUGAUGCUGGAGAACUUCAGGAACCUCCUGGCAGUGGGAGGCCAGAGUCCAGGCAAGACGACUCAUCUUCACACAACAGGACUGAGGUUUCUUUCACUGGGGCGGCUUCCGUGCUGGCAAGUGACAAGCCAUGAUGCC